GGGGAAUAAAUAGGGUAGGAGAAUUGCUUUAUUUUUGUUCAUAAACAAUAAUUAUGAAUUUACAGACAACCUUUCAAAGAGUUGUUUGGGGGUGUGCAGGAUAAUGAACAGAGGAUUGGGCAAGCUGCUGGAUCAGAAGAUAAAAGAAGUGUCCUUUACAGAUGGCCCAUCCUCAGCAUUGGCUUGAAGACACAUAGAUCUUAUCCAAAAUGUCUGUCUGAGGAACCACUGAAUUUCCUUUUACUUUAACAACUGGAUGAAUGCAACUCAGUUCAACUGUCAUUUCCCUCUAGUGAUUAUUAAUUACAGAUGACUGAUAAAUAGUUCAAAAAGUCAUGCUUACACAAUGUUGAAUACCAACUUUAAAAUGUAUUACUUCAACAAUUUCAAAUAAACUUCCAAGCAAGAA